rnacentral:misc_RNA from 1 species
GAUGAAGAACGUAGCGAAAUGCGAUAAGUAGUGUGAAUUGCAGAAUUCAGUGAAUCAUCGAAUCUUUGAACGCACAUUGCGCCCCUUGGUAUACCAUGGGGCAUGCCUGUUCGAGCGUCAUUUGUACCUUCAAGCUUUGCUUGGUGUUGGGUGUUUGUCUCGCCUUUGCGUGUAGACUCGCCUUAAAAUAAUUGGCAGCCGGCGUAUUGAUUUCGGAGCGCAGUACAUCUCGCGCUUUGCACUCAUAACGACAGCGUCCAAAAGUACAUUUUACACUCUUGACCUCGGAUCAGGUAGGGAUACCCGCUGAACUUAAGCAUAUCAAUAAGCGGAGGA